UACGUAGGCAGCAAGCGUUGUUCGGAGUUACUGGGCGUAAAGGGUGCGUAGGCGGCUUUUUAAGUUUGGUGUGAAAUCUCCCGGCUCAACUGGGAGGGUGCGCCGAAUACUGAGAGGCUAGAGUGUGGGAGAGGAAAGUGGAAUUCCUGGUGUAGCGGUGAAAUGCGUAGAUAUCAGGAGGAACACCGGUGGUGUAAGCGGCUUUCUGGACCAUAACUGACGCUGAGGCGCGAAAGCGUGGGUAGCAAACAGG
rnacentral:rRNA from 1 species